ensembl:snRNA U6 U6 spliceosomal RNA
GUGCUUCUAUAAGCACAUAUAUUAAAAUUGGAACAAAACAGAGAGGAUUAGAGUGGCCUCUGCAUGAGGAUGAUGUGCAAAUUCCUGACAUAUUCCAUAUUUUU